AAAAGCAUUCAACUUCACAAAACAGGUGGAAGCAUGGCAGAGAUUUAUAAAGAAUGGCACUGGUUACCCUGGAAACAGCAAAACUGAAAGACAUUCCCAGCUUCAUUGGUAUGGUUCAAAAGUAAACCACAUACUCCACAAAAUAAGAUCUCAACAUGUAAAAAAAGAAGCUAUGUUUCCUUGAGUUACAAUUAAUCAUAUUAAAGAUCUCUAAUAAAAAUGAAGAUAUUUAAAUACUGGAAUAGUUGCUUCACGAUGCCAUUCAUUUCCUGAUGCUUCUACUACCAGGAGAAGAUCCUUUUUUUCAAGGUCUAAAUGAAGAUCUUGUUUUCAGUUCUCAAGAUAACUUCUGCUGUCAGAAAAGUCAACUUCAGCAGCUGAAUAUAUAAAAGCAGACUGAAAUGGAAGAUAAUUGUAUGAUAGACUUUUGAUCAAUAUGUGUCCAAGAGUGAAUUCUCCUUUGUGAAAACAGAACCUCUCCAAGAAUUGUUGAAAUUUAUUUUUCAAACAUCCUUAAGCUUUAUGUAGCAUACUGAGACUACAGCAGCCUUUCUCUUCCCAGUAAAAGCCUUUGCUCCCUUCCAGUUUCAUCACCUUCCUUGAAACCUUCCACCACAUAAAUGAAAUUUUUGAAAGAGCAGUCUCAAGAUGCUCAAGAAGACCACAGUGAAAAUGAAGAUGUCAAUAGGCAUGGAAUAGGGUAUGGAAGAUAGCUCAGCCACAGAGUAGUGAGAAAUGAUUUUAAAGAGCUUCACUAGAAACAAAGGAGAUAAAUCAGUAUGAAGGGAUGUAUGAGUCAGGAUCAAUAGCAAUAAUAACAGAUAAAGACAAGCUUCCAGCAGCAGUUUCCAGGUAGUUUUGGUCUGUCAGCCCUCCUGCACUAUUCCACUCGCAGUCUAAGAACUGGUGCUCAGGCUGCAGAUACUCACUCACCGCCUCCAAUGUGGGAAUUUUCUGGCUUCUUCAGGUCCUUCUGAUAUCCCCUACAGCCCUGCAAAUCCCUCUGUGAGGACUUUGCCUCUCAGCAAGACCUGAUGCCCUGCACCUACUGUAGUUUCUAGUCUAGGGAAAGCACCAAAGGACAUCUCAUCACCUUCCAGUCUUUUCCUCCUAGAAGCAUAUCUACUUUCCAACAUAGCUAUCACUCUUGAGAAAUACCUUUGCUUCUCCUGGGCUGAAUUAAACUUGGAGGACACAUUGUUUUAUUUGUUCCCUCUUUUAAAAGCUUCCUUUCUGUCUAUUCAGGAUUUUGCCAUCCUGUCCAGAAAGGAGAUGGGAUCUCACAUCAUUUGCUAUGUACAUAUGCCCUCCCUGCUUGCUGUGUGGGACAGUUCUUUCAGUGCAAGUUGUUUAUUGGUAACUUUUCACUGGGGCUUAAUGAAGUGUAUACUGGUUCUCAGCCAGCAGCCAAAAGUGAAAGGUCUGAUACUAAAUAUUGCAUCAAAGGAAGGUUUGCAUCACCAUCCUUUCAGACUGGCUUAUAUUUUGUUCUCUUCUUUUCUCCCAGAGGCCAUCAUGCUCAAUUGUAUUAUCUCAUUGUUUUUAAUAAAGGAGCUGUAAUAUGCAGUCUCCUCUCACUGACUGGCAAUAGAAAGUGCUAGGGAGUCCCAUUCUUUCUUCAGACUAGAUCUGGAAUCAAAUUUAUUUGUUUCUUUUUUCUUUUUUUUCCUUUUUUUUCCCCCUUCCUUUAGUUCGGUUUGCCUCUGCUAGUAUCUAUCAAUCAGAGAGCAAAUUUCAGUUCAAUUAAUAUGGGUUUCCUAAAGAGUUUUGCCUUCCAGGUACAAGAGCAAAAAAAAACACGUCACAAGGCAGAUACUGGUUGUACUAUUUAGAGUACAUCUGAAAGGCAUAGUUUAAAAUUUAGGUAUGGAAAAACUGGUGAUAUCAUGCAGAUUUGUCUCUGUCAAGAGAGUAGGCCUGAAAAAAGAAAAAAAUGGCUUUCCAAGGCAGACAUUCCGUAUAAAUUGUCUUUUAAUUGAUGGAACACCUUUUUGCUUGCUGUGAACAAAGCACUUUAAGUAGAGACUUAUAGUGCAUGUGACAGGAGAUAAUUCAAGAUAAAAUACACUGAUUUAUUCUUCCACUUGUAGUAUCCUGCUCUUAUGUAAACUCAUGGCAGAGGAUGGCUGCUGCAAGUAAAGGGGAGUGGAGGAUACGAAAGGCUUCCCUGCUGCGAACACCAGGCAGUUACUGCUCUUCUCUUGAUUUCAUGUGUGAACUAAGUCUUAGUUCCAACGGCAGCAAAAAAAGUAGGAAAGGAUGGAGGGAGGUUCCUGUUCUUCCAAGUAGCUAGACCUGUCCUGACAUACCUUUGUACAUUUUCCUUGGUGCUCCCAGGAGUUCUGUGCAGGCCUUCUGAUUGCCUCUCCAGAACUCCAUGGGAACCAUAGUUCAUAGUCUCCUGCUAAGGCAGUAAUGUGCAAAUGAAAUACCUUUCACAUGGUGACCAACCUGCUGACCCCUUCUGCCCAGAGCUUACAAGGAACACCCCUGAAGUGCUUAGGCAAUGUUUGCUGGGCUUUGCCCCUCUAUCCUAGGGAGAACUACAAUUAUUUUGCAGGAAUAACUGGUGUUUAAAGUCUACACUGCAUAAGCUAAGCACUGCACAGUGAUAUCUUAGUUCAGCAGGAGAAAAUUAACUAAGAAUUGGAAACGGUGAUAUUCAAGUCCUGAUGGCGUGUCUCAGUCAGCUUGAAACUUUGUGCAUCACUGCACUAUAAAGCAAAGGCAUCCACAACAUAUUCAGCCACUCAGAUGGUCCUCCCUUCUUCAUCAGCCAGAACAGAGGAGGAUUUCUGUGUUUGUACGCUGACUGCAGCCUCUGCUUUCUCUCUGCUUUCUCUCUGCUGGUUCCCCUGGGGACUUCUCUAAGCAGGUUGUGACCUCCUAGGCUCACUGUUUUCACUGCUAGUUCUACAUGGGUACUAUACAGUGCCUAGAGAAAUUACACUCUGUAGAAAUAUAUUUUCCUGUAAAGCUUACUAAAACACAAAGCCUACUAAAGACACAGAACCUUUCUCCAGUACAAGAUAGGCUUUUCUGUCUUGCUUAUCCUCCAGAAAGAGAAAUACUAAUGUCUCUCACACUGUGAGAAAGAAGAGUGAGCAUUGGGUAGAAGUAGAAUUCAUAUUACAACGUUUUCUUUCUUCCUUUUCCUUAUUUUGCUAUAAAUUUGCCUUUAUAAACCUAGAUACAUGCAUAUGAAAAAAAAACACACAGAUUUUCUAAUGGAAACUCUGCUUUGAGACUCUGGCUUUGAAUUUAUUUUAUUUUACAAUCAUCAAACAGAGGUAGGUUGUGAAGCUUUUAUAGAUUUGCAACAGACAUCCAGCCUAUCCAGAAUAUAUCUGUGUUCUAAGCUUCCAUAGAAGUUGAAAUAUACAGUUCUUCAAGUAUACUGUAAUUUGCUCUGGCUGCCAGCUGGAAUCUAUCACCAUAAUAGCUUUAUGGCCUGUUUUAAGUCACCAUUCAUGUCUUCCUUGAAGCUGAAAUUUCCAAAAGUUAUAUUUCAUAUUGUUCGUGUUCUUUAUAUUCUUUGUGUGAACUUGGCAGUGGCUCAAACAAAGAACAAAACUGAUGAAACUACACUUUUUUUUUUUUUUUAAAUUGGAAACAUUUAUUAUUAAGCAUUCAUUAUGAAUGCCUUUGUUUAAUUUGCAGUCUUGCAAUAUUCUGAUGAUAGAUACUCUAAAGAUUGUUUUCUUUGCAGACCAGACCUAAAUAGCAUGAAGUUAUAAUUAAAAACAAAACAAAACAAAACAAAAAAACAA